UUAUUGAUGAUGCAGUCAUUUUAAUCCUCUGAGCAAGUGAUUUGUAUCAGGCAUGCCCCUUUUGCACAUUCAUGAACUCUGUCAGUUAAGAAAACUUGAAAGAGUUGGAAACACAGAAAAGCAAACUUAUUAGACUUCAGAUUUACUACAAAUUCCAGCUGGUGCAGUGGGUUCACAAAACAGAAAUGAGCAACUGCACAACCUGUAGAAGAAAUGCUGUUACUUAUUUAUAGUAUGCUGGGCCAUCUAGUAAGCUGGACAAGCAGUCUGCCCUUCUCCCAGCACGGCAACCAACAUCAUCUUCAAGCCACCAUCCAUGCAAAUAUCACAAGGAAUGGGUUCCUGUGCCAGGUGAAAUAGCCCUGAGUAUAUGGCAGAACGAGACCCGAUAUAUACUAGAAAGCAAAGGCAUCUUCUGUCCUCAGUUUCCAAAUUGACUGCUUGGUACUACUCCACAUGUAGAUAUCUUUAUACAACACUUGUACAAAACUAAGAAAAUUACAAUAAUCAGUACUAAUUUAUUUAUUUAUUACACAAUCAAAAUAUCUUAAAUACAGAGUGUGAUAAGUAAGAUACAGGAUGUUUGUUCAUCAGGAAAUUAAACUCAAGGGGGUUGGGUUGUGUAAACGUCAGAGACUUACCAUUGUAUGUAAUUACCAUAUAUGGGAAGGAAAUUUUUACAGAAUAAGCAAGACUUGGAAACAAUGCAAAGCAGACCUUAUGACCUGCUUGCAAAACCAGAUGAAGAUAGGAGAGAACCAGUCCGAAGGAAGAAGGAGGACUAUGAGAAGGGAGACGGAAUAGAGGAAGGGUGUGAGCCGUUGGUGGAGUGCGGACUCCCCGGCUACACCCAGCGCUGUUUGCUUGCUAUCGCUUGCUGUAAUCAAUAAAUUUUAAUUGGCUGAAACUUCAAGGCUGAUCAAAAUUAUUUGCCUAACCUAUGACAAAUUCGUUGCCGUGACUCAGAUCAGGAUAACCCGGGGGAUGAGCCCCUCUUGGGGAGGCGCCCUUGCCGACAUUUGCGGCAAGCCCCAUUUGGAAAAAUCCCCUGGGCUCCUGACCAACGAACCUAAAUUUGAUAGCAAGCAAAGAACUGCCGGCAACCCCUUAAUCUUUGUGAACGAAGUCCCGGGCGAAGACACUGGACGGUAGACUGCAGUCCGAAAAGCGGAAAGAGGAUGGACCCACGCCAGCCGAGUUAAGGGACCAAUUGCUACUGCUGCUGACCAGUGGAAAGCAAUCAGCCGACCCAGAAACCUGAAGGUCACUCUGAAGAAGAGUUAAUGGACUCGAGUUGGGUAAUUCAGGUGGAAUAUAAGGGACAACAGAUAGGAUGUACUUAUCCCUUAGCUAAUGAUUACAGAGUAAUAUGUAAAGAACCUCCAUGUGAUUGCUACCCUUUUGUAUGCUUUGCUCAUAAAAUUUGCCAAGAAUGGUGGUGGGUCCAUUGUCGCCGGGGUAGACCUCCUACGGGGAUCUGCUCUGAAUGCUACAAAUUAGAGCAGAAAGUAACAAGAACCACACUCGAGUUAGGGGAAUUGGGAAAUAAAUGGGUAAAGUUCGAAUCAGAGGAAUGGUGGGAAAUAUUUAGAAAAGGAAUUAAUCCUAACCAUUAUUGCUUUCAUUUAAAUGAACCUACCCCAUUUUUGGCUCACUUGGUCGACCGGUGUUGCCGGAAGAGUGUGAAAGGAAUACUGUGCACAUCAUCCUCAGUCAAGGAUAAGAACAAGUAUGAGACCCGAAAGGGGAAAAGGAGUGAAGGUACCCAUCAGUACCACUGCUGCCGAGAAGACGGUAACCCCCACGGCUUGAUGCACCCGAGUCAGCAGGCAAGGCAGAGGGGAAGGAACUGGGCCUCCUCCAAUCCCACCUGGAAUGUUGUUAAAAUGCUCCAGGAAUUGCUAACCGGGUAUUAACGAAUGUCGAAAAGAAGGCUGCUGGGAGAGCCAAGGUGCACCACGGAAUAAAUUGGGAACUCAGAAGCCCUAUGGGCCAGGAAUUAGGACCAGACUCCAACCUUACUGGCAAAUUCUAUGCACAUUAGUUAUAUGUUGUGUCCGGCCUGUACAAGGGGACUAUACACACCAACCGUUUAAUUGGACUCUGACCAGCAUCGAUCAAGGGAAGAUUGUUAAGUAUAAUGCCACCACAGGAUCUCCCACUUUUCUCGUUAAAAAUACCAGCCCACAUGCUACUGCUGGGACUGACAUUUGGGCCUUGCAUAUUUAACAAAAUACUAGAAAUAGUAAAGGGACGAUUGGAAGCAGCUCACCUUGUGCUGAUAAGAGCAAAAUACGAAACUCUCCCAGAGGAUCCUGAAAUCGGAGAGACUUUGAUGCUAGCUCACCAGGAGGUAAAGCGGUUUGAUGAACAAAAUGAUAAAAAGAAAAGGGGGGAUUGUGAUAAGUAAGAUACAGGAUGUUUGUUCAUCAGGAAGCGAAAUUCAAGGGGGUUGGGUUGUGUAAACAUCAGAGACUUACCAUUGUAUGUAAUUAUCAUAUAUGGGAAGGAAAUUUUUACAGGAUAAGCAAGACUUGGAAACAAUGCAAAGCAGACCCUAUGACCUGCUUGCAAAACCGGCCGAAGAUAGGAGAGAACCAGUCCGAAGGAAGAAGGAGGACUAUAACAAGGGAGACGGAACAGAGGAAGGGUGUGAGCCGUUGGUGGAGCGCGGACUCCCCGGCUACACCCAGCGCUGUUUGCUUGCUAUCGCUUGCUGUAAUCAAUAAAUUUUAAUUGGC